rnacentral:lncRNA from 1 species
UUUUAUCCUUGAAACAAAGUUAUAUCCCUCUGUUUCAGCUACCUAACUCUUCAAACUCCGUUCCAAAAUAAUUUACGAGUUGAAAGUUAUGAUCAAAACCGUGCACGAAGGCAUUAUCAAAAAUUUGUUCUUUUUCUGAAAUUUUCAGCACAAUUUUCAUCUUCUCCAACCCCAAAAACGUCCAUGAAAUCAUCACCAAACAUAUUUCAUGGUUUUAAACUCAAUAAUAAACAUACCAAUAUCAAUCACUACUUAUAUUCAUAUAAUCACACCAAUAGUUCACAA